rnacentral:misc_RNA from 1 species
GUAUUAUAUUGCGUUAAACGCGGUAUGCAUUCCAUGAGACUUAACUACUGUGUGUAUGUGUAAAUACAUAGAACCACGGCAGGGAACAGAGAGCCCCCAGGCUGCAGAACUAUGGAGGGUGCACAGGUGUGAGUGGAUGUGUAAACAGAGUGUGCACGUGUCCCCGAUCGAGGACCAGCAACAACUCGUGUCGACAAUUCGGUAAUGAUCCUUCCGCAGGUUCACCUACGGAAA